rnacentral:rRNA from 1 species
GAUGAACGCUGGCGGCGUGCCUAAUACAUGCAAGUCGAGUGCGUUUCGAAGGUGCUUGCACCUUCAAUGAAACGAGCGGCGGACGGGUGAGUAACACGUAGGUAACCUACCUUUAUGACUGGGAUAACCACGGGAAACCGGGGCUAAUACCGGAUAAGAUUUAGCUUCGCAUGAAGCAGAAGUAAAAGGCAGUUUCGGCUGUCACAUAAAGAUGGACCUGCGGCGCAUUAGCUAGUUGGAGAGGUAAGAGCUCCCCAAGGCGACGAUGCGUAGCCGACCUGAGAGGGUGAUCGGCCACACUGGGACUGAGACACGGCCCAGACUCCUACGGGAGGCAGCAGUAGGGAAUCUUCCGCAAUGGACGAAAGUCUGACGGAGCAACGCCGCGUGAGUGAAGAAGGUUUUCGGAUCGUAAAGCUCUGUUGUUAAGGAAGAACACCAUGGAUAGGAAAUGAUCGAUGGAUGACGGUACUAACCAGA